CGAAGCAACGCCGCGUGAAGGAUGAAGGCUUUCGGGUUGUAAACCCCUUUCAGUGAUGACGAAAAUGACGGUAAUCACAGAAGAAGCCCCGGCCAACUACGUGCCAGCAGCCGCGGUAACACGUAGGGGGCGAGCGUUGUCCGGAUUUAUUGGGCGUAAAGAGCUCGUAGGCGGUUGCGUAAGUCGGACGUGAAAACUCAGGGCUCAACCCUGAGAUGCCGUUCGAUACUGCGCUGACUAGAGUCCGGUAGGGGAGCAUGGAAUUCCUGGUGUAGCGGUGAAAUGCGCAGAUAUCAGGAGGAACACCAGUGGCGAAGGCGGUGCUCUGGGCCGGAACUGACGCUGAGGAGCGAAAGCAUGGGUAGCAAACAGGAUUAGAUACCCUGGUAGUCCAUGCCGUAAACGUUGGGCACUAGGUGUGGGGUCUACUUAACGGAUUCCGUGCCGUAGCUAACGCAUUAAGUGCCCCGCCUGGGGAGUACGGCCGCAAGGCUAAAACUCAAAGGAAUUGACGGGGGCCCGCACAAGCGGCGGAGCAUGUUGCUUAAUUCGAGGCAACGCGAAGAACCUUACCUGGGUUUGACAUGUAGGGAAAAGCCAUAGAGAUAUGGUGUCCUUCGGGGCCCUACACAGGUGGUGCAUAGCUGUCGUCAGCUCGUGUCGUGAGAUGUUGGGUUAAGUCCCGCAACGAGCGCAACCCUCGUCCUAUGUUGCCAGCAC
rnacentral:rRNA from 1 species